CUGGCCACGCGAGAAACUCCGGUGAGAAAUUGCUCGGUUAAAAAUUCAGAGGGACGCUCCAUGGCAAGCCCAUGGGAGAAUCCAUUUCCCAAGCCUCCUCCUGUCUGCAGGGGCUAUUAGGAGAUUCAUUUAUUCUGCCUGAAGCCUGCAGGUUUAUAAACACGGGCUCUUUUCUUCAGCUGAGUUGAAAGGAACAACUUCCAUUUGAUUUCCUUUGGGACUGGUGCUGGCUGUCUCUAUCACUCAGUUUAAGAGUGCAGCAGUGGGGAGAAGAGGGGAGGUGGGAAAGCCAGGGGAGGACUGAGAGGGUCUUGGUUUGUGCUGGACUAGGAAAAUCUGCAUCAUGGUAAGAAUGGGUAGAAAAUCUCAUGAUUAAACUUAUGCUGCUGCAGCACGGAAGGGUUGGCCCCAUUAGAACUCUUACUGCAGCAUCCCUGGGGUAGGUGGGUGGAUGAGGAAGGGGCUGGGGACUUGACUGGGCUUUUAGGCUUAGCUGAACUACUCAGCUUUGGAAGGUGGGGGCAAGGGGCAGCUUUCCCCGGGCUGGUGCAACACCUAGAAGAAAACACUGGCAUUUCUGGGGCCUCUGAAUGUCACCAGUGUGUUGAAGAUGUCUUUGAGCUCAUGGCUGAGAGAUUCUACCACAGGGAAACCCACAGUGUCUGAGAGGUUGCAGAACAGAGGCUGGAGAAAACAUGUGGGAUGGCUUCUCUUUCCAUUUUCUUUUUCCUGUGCCAUACUCGGGAAGAUUCAAAUGCUCUUGGGACCUGUUCAGGUCUGAGGCUUCUCAGUCAGUCUGUAGCUGGCGGGGACGCUUUCACCUUGCAGGAGGAUUGAAAGGCUUUUCACUGGAGCUCCUCACCCUCCUGCACAGGGAUCGAAGGGUUGUGCUCCCUGGCUUGUGAGACAGAAUGACUGCAGUUGCUGUGAGAGAGCAGGAAAUCAUCUCUGUAAAGCUGUCCAGAAAGCCUUGAAUUCAGGUACAAGCCUCAUGUUUAUAGGAACAUAAAAGGAACCAUGGAAACUAAAUGUGGGUCAGAGCACCCGCAGAUAGAAAAAUGAGAGGGGUUGCAGUGUUACCUUAAUUUCUCCACCUUUGGAUUUCUUGUGCUGGUUUCAAACCUGCCUGGGGUCCUAGGCUCCAGGAUCCAUAGGAGGAAGGAAUUUUCUGGGGAAGGCAGUGAGGAAAAGACCUCAUCUAAAUGCUGUUCCACGAGGGUCAUGCUGCUCAGUGGUACGUGAGAUGUGCUGGCUGUGACGUUCCCGUUGAGCCCCAAGGGAGAUCAGGUGCCUGGAGAGGAAUGAGGAGCCUUACACGCACUGUUGACAUGGAACUUUGCUUCCUCCCGUUCCCUUUUCCUGGAGGAUUACCCUGUGCAACUCUGCCUGCCCUCCUGGGCCCUUCGCAAUGAUUCAGCUGCUCUGCAGUCCCCAGCUUCAUCACGGGGAAGCUUCUUCACCUGGCUGCUGCCAGCAUGCUUUUGGCGACCCUGGGUGUCCUGUCAGCUGUUACAGGCCAUUAAAGGAUUUGUUUCUCGGUGUAUGAAAAGGCUUAAUUCAAUUCUCAUUCUCUCCUGGCAUUCCUCGGAGGUGAGCGCGUCCCCUCGGCAUGAAUCCUCCAAUGCCGCUAAUUGACUUGAAAGUAGCUCGUGUCUCCUUGGAAAUGUCACCCAGCCCUUUUCAAGUGCAAUUCCAGGCAAUCAGGAUCAAUAUGUUUCUUUAGCUAAGGGUAUUAGCACAUGACUGACAGCCCUGCGGCAUUAGCUUAUUCAUAUGGACUUCCAGAUGCUCAUUUUUCUUCCCUGUCUCAGCUCCAGCCCCAGUAAGGAGGGAAAGAACUUGGAGUGGAGCCAUGCCGUGAGCUGCAGUUGUUCACAAAGCACAGGGGGAAUAAAAUGCUCAGCUGUCAGCUACCUGAAAGGGCAGUGCAAGACCGAGGCAAGGACCAGCUGCUCCUUUGGCUCCGUGUGCAGGUGCCCACACAGCCAGGGUGCUCUACACUUGAUGCAUCAUCUUUUGACAGACACAGGGCAAACUCUGCUCCUCCCUUCUGGCCUGGGUUGCAAUGAUGGAUUAAGGAGGGCAGAUAGCAGGAGUCCUGGUGCAAACAACACAUUUGAAGUGAACCCAUGGACGAGUUUGCUUGUACGUAGAAGAGAUUGCUGAUGACAGGAAUUCUCCAUCCAGGACCUCUGAACUGAGCAACGACAAGCUGCCCUGUUCUGCCCUGUGAAGGUUUGGCUGUUGGAGGAUGCAUUUUGUGUGGUCCACGGGGCAAAAAAAAAGAGAAGAAGAGCUGCAAAGCUUUGCAGAUGAAGAGGGCCGUGAUGUGUAAUUGGGUUGUUCCAGUGAAGGCAGCAACAGCAGGGAAGCAGCAGUUGGUGGGGAUGGUCUGGAGUGUGUCUGCAGAGCUGUGGAGCAGAGGAGAAAGUGUGUCUUGGAGGAGGUCUCCAAGCAUUUUAAAAGGAAGCUAACACCACAGAUUGGAAAACUUUACAUUUUGAGGCUUCAGUGACUGGUUUAGAGCCAGCCAGAGGAACCUCACCACUAAGUGUCGAGUUGAAGGGAAAUACAAUACAUCACCUUCCUCGUGGGCUGCCAUUCAGCCAAGAGUAACAGAGAUUAGCCUUCAAUCACAGAGGGGCCAGAGCUGAAGGAAACCUUCCCGAGGACACGCUGGAGAAACAUUUUCAUUAGUGGAGGAGAAGCUGACGGAGAUGGAGUGGCCCUUCACCUCAGCUGCCAGACCUCUCGCCUGCCUGGCGUUAACAGGACAGGGAGAUGCUAAUGGAGGAGCUGGUGCCAGCUGCAAGUCUUUAAGUGCUGUCUGUAUCCAGAUACCGUUCUCUCUCGGGGGCUGCCUGUGGUGCUGCAUUAACAGCACAUCUCUGUGUUGAAGAAACAAUGAGGAUAUAACAGAGACCAAAAUGAAAUCCUCCCUGGAGUUGCCAAGAAUGAUGGAUAACUGCAAGAAAAUAUUAUUCUAUGGCUCUGGAAAAGGAAGAUCUACUGUCUUAGUAACCUGGUAAUGAGGUAGUGGCUCUGCUCCGUGCAGAGGCUGGGAGCCAGGGGAGAUUUGGGGUUACAAAGAGGGCUGGACAGAGUUUGCUGCCCUCUCAGCUCCUUUCCUGUAUCACUGUCAACUUAGAUUUCACAUCAAGAGGGUGAUGUUAUGCCUGGCAGUGACAACAGCAGAAUGUCACUGGCAGAGGUGAAAUCUUUCCCUCCGUGAGGGUAAUUCUUCCUUUCCCUUCCCCUUCGCUUAUGUCAAGGACCUCUGGCUCCCUGUGCCGAGUGGGCCAUGUACACAUGCUGCUCAGGGGACAACACAUUCUGUGCUGAGCUUCACUUUUCCUGCUGUCUUGGUAAGCAGCUCUGUGUCACCGAUGCCUCUUGGCUGCGUGGUGACCCAGGACAAAGGGAAACCCCUUGUUACUGUCUGAGAGAAAUUGGGGCCAUUGGAAGCUGCCGUGUUUGCCAUCGUGGCAGCACUGCUCAGAGUGCUCCUCUGCCAUGCUGGCACACUUAUAUCAUCGUCAGCUUUGCCAGGGAUGUCCCUUCAGAGACCAUUUGUGCUCUUCAGGGGCCAGGUCUGAGCUAGGUCAGAGUCUGAGGGGCAGACUUACACAUGUUAAAGGGUAAUGUCCCCCACAGGCUGUCUCUCACCUCCUCUGAACAGCAGCUGAUCUUGCAGGAGUGUGCCUGUGCCCACCCUCUCCGGCAGCCCCUCUGCCAGCUUCUGUCCCCAAGGGCUGGUUCAGCAAAGCGUAGUGUUGUUCUGGGUCCAGCUUCCAUUUUCUAGCUAGUUAUGGAGGAGAGGAUGAAGGUUGUUGCUGCUGCUGCCAGGCCACACUAGAAAAUAGGCAGGGGACCAGCCUCUUAGUGCCCUUAAAGAUCCAAGAGUUUAAUCUGACCCUGGCUCUCUCUUAGCCCUGAACCUGUUGUGUCUUUUCCAGCUGGUGCCCAAGCCUCUCUUUGUUAUUUUUAUUUUUUUUUCCCCUUUUCUCCUCACCUUAUGAAAAAUGGCUUUCCCAUCUGCAUCUGUCAGGAGUGUGCCGAGUUGGGGGUACGGCUCAGUGAAUAUACAAACGCGCGGUUGGACCGUGGCCCCCCUGACAGGCUGGAGAUGAAUUCCAAACGUGCAGGGAGAAGAGCUCCUGCUGCCUCUGAUGGUUGUUUUUCUUAUCCCGAGGAGGUGUGAGAAUCGCCUUUGGGAGCAGUGCUUCCUUCUGCUCCCGUUCUGCCUUUACCAAGGAUCAGUUCUCUGCCAUCCAUCAUCAGACGAGCCCUCUCCUCGCUCCCACGUCUCAGCUGCUGAUGGCAGUGCUGGAGAAGGGGGAAACUGUUUUAUCCUGCUUUUCACUACCAUCCUUUUUCCUCUCCCUUUUGCAUCCCACCUCCUAGGCCUCUAUUACAAGGCAAUUGGCAGGCUGGGGCUGGAGGGCACUUGCCUUUUCUUGCUGAUCCAGGUAGAGGGGAGGGGAUGGUUUCAUAUAAUCAUUGGAUAUCCUGAGUUGGAAGGGACCCACGAGGAUCAUUAAGUCCAACUCUUAGACCUGCACAGGACAGCCCAGCAAUUCCACCCUGUCCCUGAGAGUGUUGUCUGAAUACUUUUUGAACUCUGUCGGGCUUGGAGCCGUGCCCUCUACUCUGGGGACCUGUUCAGUGCACCACCACCCUCUGAGUGAAGAACCUUUUCCUAAUAUCCAGCCUAAACCUGCCCUGACAGAGCUUCAUGCUGUUCCCUUGAGUCUUGUCACUGGUCACCAGUUUGACCUUACCCAGGGGGCUUAAAAUGUCAUUUUGAUUGGAGUUUUUCAGAGGUGUUGUGCGUGACUCCAUGUAAGAUGCACUGAAAGCACCCCAGUGCUCCUGCACGUCUCAGCCUUCCCCUGCUGCAGGUGACCAGAGCUCUGGGGCUCUGCAAGGAGGAAUUCACCGUCUCUGAGUUGUGGAACUCUGCAGGGUCGCUCAGGUACCCAAAGAGAGAUGACAGCCUGCCCUGACAGCCAUGAAUUUGCUGAGCUCUUUUCCUGCCUGUUGGCUUUCUGCAGUGAGGUACACGAGCUGCUUCCCUGGCCUUGAUGUGCAGAGAAGCUUUCAGCCAGGUGGGCUCAGAGGAGCAGGCAGGCAGAAAAUGAAAUGAGUGUCUCCAUGCUCUUGCCACAGCUAUCUGGUCAAGGAGGGGAACUUUCUGGGUGGGCAGACCCCCUCUUUGGCAGGAGGAGAGAGCAGGCAGCUUGAGCUGAGCUGGUUUUUUUGACAAGCAGAUGGAUGUUCAGUGGGGACCCAAGAAAACCCUCUCGCUCCAGGCUAUCUGUGAGCCCUCCAAACCAGAGCGUUGUGCUGACACAAAAGCAUCGCUCCGUUGAUGCUCAGCUUGAAUUGCCUCUUCCAGGCGCCUGAUUCGGGACACAGCGACCGUCCCCUCCUGCCACCAGCUCCCGGGAGGAGCCAGCUGCCUGCCUGCAACCGGGCGAGGAUGGAGCCGGAGCCGUGGAGCAGCGAGGAGGGAGGGAGGCGAGCGACGGCAGCUUCCUCCGGCAUCUCCACACCGCGGGGCUCUUGGCGAGCGAGUGCUCGUCUGCUUUGAAAGCUCUUAGUGCUCCUGCAGGUGGGAGCCAAUUUGUCUGCUUUCCUGCCCAGGUGCCAUCUGUUUGUAGGAUUGCCUGUGCGGUGGAUGAGCACGACGGGGAUGGCGAAGGGAAAGGGCUGCUGGGCUGGGAAAGAUGAGCCUAAAACUUUCCUUGAGUAUCUUCAGCGCUUCUGGCUGCCGUUGUUCUCUCUCCCCUGCAUCGCAGCGGGGAAAUCGGAGCCUGUCAUUUGCUGUUCCCGGAGCGUAGAGGGGAGCUGAGGCACUGCUAAUAGCAAACUAUCAUUCUAAUGCUAAUUUCCUACCAUUAGCUCAGGCUGGGGGAGGCUCAGCCUGGGUGGAGGGAAGCCAUUAGCAGAUGGAGAAGGGGAGAUGUGUGCGGAUUUGUUCUGCACCCCCAGAAGGGAUUUUCAGAGGGCAGAUGAUUAACCACCACUGGGCAAAUUGGUAACACGAGCUAGGUUCAGUCUCUGGUGGACGUGGGAGGAAGGGAGAGGAUGCUUUGUUCCAAGUUGUCCUUCCUCUAGGGAUUUCCUGAGUGCUUCAGGCUUUGGCUUGAGUCUGGUCUUAGCUGCUUGUUGCCAGCCUUCGUGUGUUGUGACCCAAGGGAUGCUCAGAGCGCUGGCAGGGCUGCAGCUGGUGGCACCAAUGUCCUUUCAACAAAGGAGCCGAGCAGGGUUGGGUUUAGCUGCUGUCUUUUUGGGAGGAGCUUCCCAGUUCAGGAGCCUGGACAUCCAUGUUUGGUGGCAGGCUUCGAAGCAGGGAAAUUUUGAAUCCACCCUUGAGAUACCCAAGAGCUAAAAAAGAAACCUGUCCUUUUGCCAUGGGAGCAAACCCAGAUGCCCCAAGCUGGAGACAUGUCAGGAGAAACUGGGGCUGAGUUUGGAAUUGUGAAGGAAAAUGAACUAUUUCCCUGCCCUUUCCAGAGGUGAGCAUUCCUACAUCCAGCCUCUUCAUCAGUCUCCUCUAGACAAGUGGAAGAGCCUGUGCUGCUCCCUGGACUGGUGAGGUGCCUGGGAGCUUCUGGGGUGUGUGUAGAAGGUGAUUGGCUACAGUAGGACUGUAGGGCCUGUUUGGAAUUCUUUGGGCAACAGUCAGAGAGGUUUCUCUACCAUUCCUAGACCAGCUUGGAAACCUUGGGACUAAAGGGGUGCAAGCUGUGCCUGGCUGGGAAGAAACUGGUUGCCUGCUACUGAGGACAACGAUGUUUGAAGGCAAGGGCCCAGUAGUGUCCUGAUCUUGGUGAUCCUGAAGACCCAGCAGCCUGUCUGUGGUGAUCUAGACCACUGGCUUCAUCAUUUCAUAGGGAAGCAUACAAGGAUUUUUUUUAAAACCGCUUUAAGACCGUUUUAAAACUCUUCUGUCAUCUAGCAGAGAUGCAGUGGAGGGACAAAAGCAGCCACAAUAAACCAGGAACUGGUUAAAUGGCAAAGGGGGAGUAAGGCAAGAAGGGACUAUCCUGCCAGGAGGACAAUAGCACAAGGCUCCAUUAGCAGAACAGCACUGCUCACUGUGGUUACCAGCUAUCAGAUCCAUCCCGGUGUGGAGCAUGACUCACUGUUGUUUAAGAAGCUAUUUCCAUCUGAAAAAAAACAGCUCCUACCUUUUCUAGAGACUCUUCCCUGCCUUGUUUGAAGAGAGAAGCAAAAAAGUGAAGGGCUACUUUUUCCUAGUCAAGGAGGCUCAAACAAACUUUCCCUCAAGUAGCUGAGCAAGGAAAUCAGCACAUUAUGUGUUCUCGAGAAUAAUACAAUCAAAGUAGUUGGGGGGGGGGGAAAGUAAGAAUAAAAUAGCAUUGCUUUUCCCAGUUCAGCACUUUGAAUAAUGAGCUUACAAGCCAGAGGCAGAGCUCCCAGGAGUGGAGCUGUGUUCAGGAGAUGGACACAAGUGUCUCGGAUGGGCCCGGAUCUGAAGCCAUCUCUCUCUCUAAUUUUCUACAUCAGUGAGAACACAGCACAGCACCAUCGAUCAUAGUCAACCUCCCCUCAAAAGCCACCUCCUGCCUCUCUGUAUGGCAGGUCCCCCUCUGCUCCUGUCCCCGCUGGGGACCGCAGGUGUCCCGGACAACAGCGCUGCCGGCACAUUUCCCUCACAGGAGGGUUCUUCCUCCUCGUGUUCGAGCCUGCUUGUGUUUCUGCCUUUCUCCUUCCUCCACCCCUAGCACCUGUUCCUCAACGGUGCUUCAUUUCCAGAUGUGUCUCCCCCUCCUGGAGUCAGGAAAGGCCAAAUACUCCUUUAAUCCCCGAUGAGGAGAAGGUGUGGAGCUGCCUGUCCCGGUAAACCUGCUGUGUGCUGCCAGGGGGAGGGGUGAGUGUGGUUUUAGUGCCUGUACUGCUCAUCCAGGGUCAAAGAGGUUGGACUUCGCAGCUUCCCUGAGGCCAUCAGGGCAUGUUCUGGGGAUUGCUGGUACUGGGACUGGCUCCUUCUCCCCAGCUCUGGGCGUGGAGCACCUAAAGGGAUCAUCAUUCACGCUGGGCUGGUGGUGCGAUGCAGCAGUUUCUGGUCCCUCGUUUCUCCUUCUGUGAAGUCCUCUCUGCUCCUUCCUGGCCUGGCCAGGUGUUUCCGCCAGACCCAGGGGCACCAGUUUGGCAGGAGCACUGGUGAUGGGGCUCCGCCUGGGCAGGCCAAGGCCAGGCACUUCUAGGCUGGCCAGAGGGUGAUGGGAUGUGGGUUUGUGCUUGUGGCUGUUCCUUCUGCUGGAGCGUGGACACAGCUGGUGGGUUCGGUGCCUCUUGCUACUUCAUCUGUCUCAUGUGCUCUUGCUCAGCUGUGGUGGCUCUCAGACCUACCAAAACCUGGCUGAAUGUCAUGACACAAAAGUGGUUUUCCAGCCCUGUUUCUGGCUUCAUGGGCUCAAGCACUAGCUAGAAAACCAAGGACUGAGCUUCUUUCUUGAGCACAGCCCUAGAGAGGAGCAUCUUCUGAAGAAACUCUUGCAAUUGCCAUCUCCCUCUCAGCCUUUUCACUGGCUUCUGAGAGCUGCAGAGCAUCCUUGACCUCUGUCUCAGGCAUGGUUUCCUGCAUGUAUCAGCCCUGCUCCAGUGUUGUGGAGCUAUUGCUGGCAUCUGUAAUAGCUAUGUUGUUUACUUCCCAAGUGCCUGCCCUUUCCGUAAUGAGCUGUAAUUCAUCCUGGUUUAUACAGGGCUCGGAGAUACCUGGAGCGAGGAGGGUGUGCCAUUAAACCACCUUCUAGGCUGCUCUCUGGACCUGGGAUUGCUGAUCUCCUGGAGAUGUAAAACAAGGAGGACAAGGGGGACCAGAUGGAAAUGGGGAAUAAUUACCUUGCAGGGUUUUUGCCCAGGGCUGGUUGGGUUGGGAACUGCUGUGAGCUGACACACAGGUGCAGAUGGAUGGUUACGGCACACAGGGCAGAGGGAUGAAAGAUGCCUUUUUAAAGCAUCUGCCUUCCUCUCUUCCUCUGUUUUAUAACCUGUUUUUAUAGAGACUGCACGAGGAACACAUUUUUUUUAUUAGCAGCUUGGGAGUGGAGAGUAAUAAAGAUUAAUUUUUUUAAAUAA